rnacentral:lncRNA from 1 species
GAUCACUCUCUGGAGGAAUCGAGCUUUCAUGUCAUGAGCAGCCUUAUGGAGAGGCCCAUGAGGGGAGGAGCCGAGGUCCUUCUACCAACAGCCAUGUGAGGACCCUCCUGCCCCAGCAAACCUUCAGGUGAAGGUCAGAAGCUCCCAGAGAGUUGAGCAGAAAUACACGAGGCCUUCUAAGGCCCAGGCCAGGAGCCCGCACUGUGUCAUGUCUGUCCACACUCCAUGGAGAAGUCCUGGCUUAAAAUUUUCCAUUCAUUUACUUUUCACCCUUCUUUUGCAUUAUUUUUCUUCUGCCACUACACAUCACAAUUUCU